rnacentral:rRNA from 1 species
AUUGAACGCUGGCGGCAGGCCUAACACAUGCAAGUCGAGCGGUAGAGAGAAGCUUGCUUCUCUUGAGAGCGGCGGACGGGUGAGUAAUGCCUAGGAAUCUGCCUGGUAGUGGGGGAUAACGUUCGGAAACGGACGCUAAUACCGCAUACGUCCUACGGGAGAAAGCAGGGGACCUUCGGGCCUUGCGCUAUCAGAUGAGCCUAGGUCGGAUUAGUUAGUUGGUGGGGUAAUGGCUCACCAAGGCGACGAUCCGUAACUGGUCUGAGAGGAUGAUCAGUCACACUGGAACUGAGACACGGUCCAGACUCCUACGGGAGGCAGCAGUGGGGAAUAUUGGACAAUGGGCGAAAGCCUGAUCCAGCCAUGCCGCGUGUGUGAAGAAGGUCUUCGGAUUGUAAAGCACUUUAAGUUGGGAGGAAGGGCAGUAAAUUAAUACGUUGCUGUUUUGACGUUACCGACAGAAUAAGCACCGGCUAACUCUGUG